rnacentral:rRNA from 1 species
UACAUGGGGUGCAAACGUUGCUCGGAAUUAUUGGGCGUAAAGCGCACGUAGGCGGCGCGUUAAGUCGGGUGUGAAAGCCCUGGGCUCAACCCAGGAAGUGCAUUCGAAACUGGCGCGCUUGAAUAUGGAAGAGGGUCGCGGAAUUCCCGGUGUAGAGGUGAAAUUCGUAGAUAUCGGGAGGAACACCAGUGGCGAAGGCGGCGACCUGGGCCAAUAUUGACGCUGAGGUGCGAAAGCGUGGGGAGCAAACAGG